rnacentral:rRNA from 1 species
CCUACGGGAGGCAGCAGUAAGGAAUAUUGGUCAAUGGGCGCAAGCCUGAACCAGCCAUGCCGCGUGCAGGAUGACGGCCCUCUGGGUUGUAAACUGCUUUUAUACGGGAAGAACAGCAUCUACGUGUAGGUGUUUGACGGUACUGUAAGAAUAAGGACCGGCUAACUUCGUGCCAGCAGCCGCGGUAAUACGAAGGGUCCAAGCGUUAUCCGGAUUUAUUGGGUUUAAAGGGUGCGUAGGCGGCUUUUUAAGUCAGUGGUGAAAGCCUGAUGCUCAACAUCAGAACUGCCAUUGAUACUGAAGAGCUUGAGUACAGUUGAGGUUGGCGGAAUGUGUCAUGUAGCGGUGAAAUGCUUAGAUAUGACACAGAACACCGAUUGCGAAGGCAGCUAGCUAAGCUGUUACUGACGCUGAUGCACGAAAGCGUGGGGAGCAAACAGGAUUAGAUACCCUGGUAGUCCACGCCCUAAACGUUGAUAACUCGUUGUUAGCGAUAUACUGUUAGCGACCAAGCGAAAGCAUUAAGUUAUCCACCUGGGAAGUACGGUCGCAAGAUUGAAACUNAAAGGAAUUGACGGCUGAGACGNGCGAGGACGACACGAGGGAGGAGG